UAGGGAAUCUUCCACAAUGGACGCAAGUCUGAUGGAGCAACGCCGCGUGAGUGAAGAAGGUCUUCGGAUCGUAAAGCUCUGUUGUUGGUGAAGAAGGAUAGAGGCAGUAACUGGUCUUUAUUUGACGGUAAUCAACCAGAAAGUCACGGCUAACUACGUGCCAGCAGCCGCGGUAAUACGUAGGUAGCAAGCGUUGUCCGGAUUUAUUGGGCGUAAAGCGAGCGCAGGCGGAAUGAUAAGUCUGAUGUGAAAGCCCACGGCUCAACCGUGGAACUGCAUCGGAAACUGUCAUUCUUGAGUGCAGAAGAGGAGAGUGGAACUCCAUGUGUAGCGGUGGAAUGCGUAGAUAUAUGGAAGAACACCAGUGGCGAAGGCGGCUCUCUGGUCUGCAACUGACGCUGAGGCUCGAAAGCAUGGGUAGCGAACAGGAUUAGAUACCCUGGUAGUCCAUGCCGUAAAACGAUGAGCGCUAGGUGUUGGGGGACU
rnacentral:rRNA from 1 species